UCAUCCUCAGCUUCAUCCUCAUCCUCAGCAGGGACAGCACAGGAUUCAGCUCAGGCUACAUCAGCAGCAGAAUCCAAAAAUGAGGAAUCCAAAGACAAUCAAACCCCCUCAGGCAAGAUCUUCAACGACCCCAUUCAUGGUCAAAUUGAGCUGCACCCCCUGCUGGUGAAGAUCAUUGACACGCCACAGUUUCAGAGACUGAGAAAUAUUAAACAGCUGGGAGGAACAUAUCUGGUGUAUCCUGGAGCCACUCACACUCGCUUCGAACACUCUCUUGGUGCUGCAUAUUUAGCAGGACAUCUGGCAGAAGUUCUGAAAGAGAAACAACUGAAGGAGUUUGAAAAGAAACGAGAUGAGUU